rnacentral:lncRNA from 1 species
GGAAGGACUUCAUUAACACUUCUUUGGGAUGGGCUAUCUUCAAAUCUGCUGGGGCUGUUCAUUAACAUUCCUUUGGGAUGGACUUUGGGCCUAGGGCUUUUCUUGGGACUUCAUUAACAUUCCAUGAGUUGUCCUGCAUUUCCUGGAAUCAUUCUCAGCAUGGCCUCCAUUUUAGAUUUCACUCGGUAUUAGACCCGAUUUACCUAACUACACUGACUACCUAAUUUUAAAUCUGGCUUCACUGGUCUUGAACUUGCAAUUCUACUGCUUCAGCCUCCAGAUUCUGGAAUUACAGGUGAAUGCCACCAAGUGUGGCUUACUUUUGCCUUUUAAAAAAUAUUAUAUAUAAUUUUAUUAUUUAUAUUGUUUUCAUCAUUUUUUACUCAACAUUAUGUAUGUACAAUUCAUUUUAUCUUCAAUUUAUUCCUAUUCAUUAUAUUUUAGUUUUUAUUAUGGUAAACUUUCCAACUGUAUCAAAAUUUACUUAUCCAUUCUAUACCUGAUGGACAUUCUGGUUGUUUGCACUUGGGCCAAUUAUUAACAAUACUUCCUAAAUGUUCCUUUACAUCAUCUAGAGGCACAUAUGUGCUUUUUUCUUUAGGGUUUAUGAAGCUAAGUAUAUGUUUACCUUUCUUGGAUGCCACACUAUUUUUCAAAAUGAUAAUACUAAUUUGUAAUCCCAACAGCAGGGUUUGAGAAUUUCUGUUGUUCCAUUCACUAAACACUUCAUUUUUUUCCAAUUUAAUAGGGGUAUGUCCCAGGUUUGUUUUAAUUAGCUCUUAUCUGUUACUAAAGGUAGAUCUUCUCUUUGCUUAUUGGUCAUUUGGAUAUCCCUUUUUGUAAACUGACUGUUAAAGUAUGUUACCUGUUAUUCUAUUUGCUUGUUUGUCCUGUCACUUUUGAAUAUUUAUGCUUAUUAGGCAUUCUUGAUUAUAAGUAAUACAAAUAUCUUUUCCCAUCUUUUACUUUCUUUACUGUGUAAUACCUAAUAAUAAUGGAGUAUUUUUAGGAACAGAAAUAACUUCUUAAUUUUAGUGUAGUUGAGUUUAUCAGUUCUUUCAUUCUAUGGUUGUUAUUUUGCAUUUAAAAUUCUUUGUCAUUUGAGACCAUGAAAAUAUUCUUCUACAUUCUUUUCUAAGAGCAUUAUAGUUUUUCCUUCCUUAGGCUAGGUUUUCAAUCUAUCUGACACUGAUUUUUGUGUUCCUUUACUUCAUAAUCAUUUUAUUAAUAUAUUCUCUGCAUUUUGUCUGUUGUUUAUGCAGAUUCUCACUAAUAGUGGCUUGCCUUGCCUUCUCACGAACUUCAUGGUCUUUGGUUGUAAACUCAUUGAUUGAAAUAAACCUCAGAACAUUCUCCUCCAGAGGAGAUUUAUUUCAUCUUCUGUUUAUAGGUAAAAUAUGCCACCAUUCAAGGACGACUUCAGUAUCUUGGCUCAGUUCAUCCUUCCAAAUUUUGUGUUGGCCAAAGCCUUAGUAUCCUGAUAGCAGUACUACUAUCUGCAUUUUACUCAGAAUGAUUCUGGUUUUGGAUUUUUUUUGUUUGUUUGGAGGUAAAGCACCUUUGGAGAACUCCCUAUUUUAUCAGAGUCCCACAAUGCCUCAAAGAAAUGGGUCCUAUCCAAGGUCUAAUUGUUCCUUAGCAGAUGGAUGCCUCAGUGCACCUAGUCAUCUGUAACAUCAUAUUUGGAAAUCCCUAAUAAAAUAUUUUGCUUAUUGCUCCAAAUCAUUACAGAAUUUCUUCAUUUUUCUGUAGGGUUAUAUAAAUAUUCUGUUGUAUGGAAUUUAUUUAACCAGCUCCCCAAUGAUAGACCUACAUAUUAAAUCCAAUUAUUUGCUACUAUACGCAAUGUUGCAAUAUCAUUUCACACCUAUGUGUGUAUAUCUGUAUUAUAAAUUCCUAGAAACAGAAUUACUAGAUCAAAUUGCCCUGUAGAGGUUGUACAAAUUUAUCAUUUUAUAUUGUUUAUAAAUACUGAAAAAUAUAUGAAAUAUUUGCUUCAUGCAAUUCUCAAAAAUAUUCUACAUUGCCUUCUGAAAUAUAGAUGCAGUGUUAACAAUUUCAAAAUUUCACUGAGAUUUUGGAGUGGGAAAACUUUUCAAGUACACAUGGAAUAUUAAGCAAAAUUGAACAAAUAAUGACAUCUAAAGCAAGUUUGUUGCUUCAUGAACUGCAAGUGUCCCAAAUGCUAUUCUUUAUAUAUGAGAGAAUAUCUUAUUUUUCUCUCCCUAACAAGAACCAAUUUUUACGAAGAUUAAUUACUAUUGUACUUUUAAUCUAGUCAAUAAAUUUGUCAGUCCUUUGCUUUAAAAUAAUUUAAAUAGGCAUGCAUGCCUGACAUUUUAUAGUGGAAUAGAUGGAAUGGAAUUGCAGGUACAAAACUAAAAUUGGCAAUGGAUUCUACUAUUAUCUUUGCACUGAAAAGUAAUUUAUGUUAGAAAAUUAUUACAGCCUCUUAAGCAUUCAUAAAUUAAAUAUAUCUAAACCUUAAAUUAUAAUCAAUAAUCAUCUACUUAAUAUAUAUUAAUAUUUUAUAUAUUUAUAUAUAUAUAUAUAUGUGUGUGUGUAUAUAUAUAUAUAUAUUAUCCAUUUCUUACUUUAAAGUUACAGUAAUAAAGUCUUUUGGAAGUAAAUGAGGGGAAAGGAUUUUCAUGUCUUCUAAGUUUUCUAAUUUAGAAUGUUUCAGCAACUAAUGCAGAAUAUCUACAAAGUAAAGCAAGUUCAUGCCCCUGUUACUUUUAUGUCUUUAGGGACCUGAUAACAGACAUGAAUGUGACCAGCAGAAUAUAUUAUAGUUUUUCUGUUGGGUAUUAAAUAAAUCCUUCCUGGUAUCCGAAGAGCCAGAAGGUGACUAGGCCCUUAUUUUAGCAUUUUUGACUUAAGUAAUCAUCCUGAUAUACCUUAAAUGUAUAUUUAUUAUCUAAGAGAUGGAAAUGGUUAGAAGGAUUUUCUAGAAGCUAAGUUUGUUACAUCUUGGAACAUUACUGAAUCUAGACUUGGUCUGAGUAGUCAAAAUAAUCUGGUAGGCACUAGUUCCUACAGUUGCUGAUUCUUGGAAUUAAUCUUCCUACCAAGUUAAGGGGACAGACUUAGCUGAUGGCCAUGAAUGGUUGCCCAGAACAAAAUAUCCAAAAGUUAUGGCCACAAAUGACAGAAGACCAAGUCAGAAACAGUAAAAUGUAAUCCCCAUAUUAUAAAACUGGUCCAGGCUACCACAUAUAGUUGUUCAUAUCAUGCCCUGUAUAACCUUAGAUGAUGCCAUUUGUAUAGGUGGUAUGUUGAGCCAAGGAAUAUCCAUGGCCUGUAAAAGCUAGAAAAGGCAGAGAAGUGGAUUCUUCCUUAGAACAAAAAAAAAAAAAAGAUGGGGGCGGGGGUGUGUGAAAGGGGUGGUGGGGGAUGCAGCUGGGCAUGGUGGCACAUACCUGUAAUCCCAGUGACUAGGGAGUUUGAGGCAGGAGAAUUGCAAAUUUGAGGCCAGCGUCAGUAGUUUAGUGAGACCUUGCCUCAAAAUAAAAAAUAAAAAGGACAAGGAUUGUAGCUAAGUGGUAUUGCACACCCCUGGGUUCAAUCCCUAGUAUCGAAAAUAACAAAAACGGAACGCAGCAACCCUGUGACCCCUUGAUUUUAGCCCAGUGAGACCAAUCAGAUUUCUAUCCCACAGUGCUGUGUAAGAUAAUAAAUUUGUGUUGCUUAAACUGUUCUGUGCUAAUUUGUUGCAGCAGAUGUAGAAUACUAAGAUGGCACUGUAAAAUAACAGAUGUGAUGUCAGAAUACCAAGUGGAAAUUUCACAGUAAAUGAUGUAGAACAUAUUAUGUAGCUCUGAAACUGAAAGGAAGACAGAAAAAUAUUAUGAAAGUAGAAGCAGAUUAUUUUAUGAGAAGGUUUUUGGGGGCAGAGCUAGGCAGUAAAUUUGUUUUCCCUCCUCAUGGGGGAAGGGGAAGAGCGUGACUGUCUCUUCACUUCACUGGUUAGAGGGGUUUCAUGGCUUUAUUUGUGUUCCCUUGAGUUUGGGAUCAAAAGGACUGAGUCUGUCUGCUGCUGAUGAAAACCCACAGGGCGGGAGAGAUGAAGAGUGACCUGCUUGGUUCCAGAUGAUGCAGAGCUGCUGGCUGCAUCAGGAGCAUUCUGUCCUCCCAGAGUUUGUCAGAUGUGGAGCACGUGUUUUGGCCCUUGCUUCAGGGAAGAGGAAGCAGAUGAAGCUUCAAAAAGAAGGGCCUGAAUGAGUAACUCAGAGCAGAGAGGUAACAGCACCUGUGAGACAGACUUCCUGGCUGUACCAUGGGAAUUACAGCUAAAGAAGCUCAGCAGGAAAUCUCCCAAGGAACCCAGGAAAGCACUCGGGUGAGAAAUUCCACUUGUCAUGUGAGAACUUUCCCCUUCUCCCUCCCCUUACAAGUAGGAAGGAAAGUUGGCUCUUUCCCUCCUCAAAAGGCAGGUGUCAGCCAACUUCAGGUCCAAGUUAGGAAGGUAAAGUAUUAUUUUUGAAGUAUUGAUUCAUAUAUUGACUUAAAUAUUUCUGAAUACCAAAUUGAGACAUGCCAAAAUGAUACAAACUAAAUAUUCCUUAACUCGAAUGCUUGGAGCCAGAGUGUUUUGAAUUUCAGAUUGCAGAAUACUUACUUACAUAUUCACAAUGACAUAUUUUCACACUGGGAACAAAGUCUAAACCUGCAAUCCACAUGUUUCAUAUACCGUUUAUAUACAUAACCUUAAGGUAAUUUCAUAUAUUAUUUUUAUUAAUUUUUAGAAAAAACAAAGUUUCAUGAUGUGGAAUUUUCCACUUCAGGCAUCAUACUGUUAUUUAAGGAGUUUCAUAUUUUCAAAUUAGGGAUUAUCUAGGGAGGAUGGGAUUAUACGGUUUUUUUUCUAUUAUGGGGUUUUAAAAAUUUAUUUAUUUUUAGUUAUGGAUGGACACAACACCUUUAUUUUAUGUAUUUAUUUUUAUUUGGUGCUGAGGAUCAAACCCAGUGCCUCACCCAGGCUAGGCAAGUGCUCUACCACUGAGCCACAACCCCAGCCCUGGAUUAUAGGUUUAAAGGAUUUGUUUAUCUUUGUCUUCCUAAUUUUUUCUUACAAUAAAUGAACAUUGUGCAAUUUAAAAAGUAAGAUUAUGAAAAGCAGUAAUAAAAAAUUUAAAAAAAAAUUUAAAAAGUAUUCCAGCUAGGAUCACAAUACAGAUCCUGUUGAUUGUAUCAUCUGGAUUCACAUGCUUCUUCCCAUAUCACAAACUGUCAGAAAGUCUAAAUCCAAAGGAUGAGUAUUUUCUAAGGAUAUGGACCAGAUUUUUCAUUUUCUAGCCUUUUAGUCCACUUCAAAGGGUACCAUCUCAUGUCUUGGAGGGUGCCAUCUCAUGACCUACCAAAUGGGAGCUGGAUUCUAACAUAGUAUCUUUGAACAUAAUAGUGGCUGCUUGUGACUGCCUUGUUACUCCAACGCUGGCACUAUGGAUUGAACCUAGGGGUGCUCUACACUGAGCUACAUCCCCAGCCUUUUAUUUUUUAUUUUGAGACAGUUCUCCCUAAAUUGCCAAGGAUGGUAACUCCAACUUACUGUCCUCCUGUUUCAGCCUCAUGAGUCACUCUGGGUUCCAUUCUGGGCUCUGGAGAUUAACAGAACAUAUGGUUUCACUCUAGGUGAAGCCUACAUUCCCUCAAUCCACAUUCCCUGGGAUGUAAGUUUCAUGAAAGCAACUCAUCUUUAUUUUGUUUUCUUAUGUGUCCCAAUGGGCUAGAAGAAUGCCUGGCAUGGGGUUGACUCUCAAUAUAUUUCUGUUAUUGAACUAAUUUCUUUGUAAGGGACCGGCGAACGACGGAGGAAGAGACCACCAAGAGACCGACUCAUGCAACAGCAAAAGGGGGUUUAUUGAAGAUCCAGCGCGCUGGGGCUCCGUGCUCACUCAAGAAGGGAGAGCAGCCAAGAGCCCCGAGAACAACUUGUGCAGGGUUUAUAUACAUUUUUUAGAGAGGGCAGGGACUUUACACACGUCAUAGUCCCCUUUAACAAAUCAUCAUACACCGCGGGAAAAUUAAACAACAAUUCUCAAACAUGAUUAGUACAUUCACUGGCGGGAACAGGUCGGGCAGGGGUGAUAGGUCAGUCCUAAGGCGGGGUAUACAUUCAAAUUGAUUGGUUUAGGCCCCGGGGUGCGUACAUGCUGAGCUGCACGGAUCCGGGUCAUUAAGCAACUAGGUGGUCAAGGGCGGGGGGGAUUUCUACACACAUCUAAUGGGCAGUUCUGGGAAUUAUCUUAACUGCCACAGGAAUUUCAGGUUCUGAGUGCAGCUUAGAAACUUUACAAAACCUGGUCCUUUACAUUUUAAUUUCAAUUUCUUUUAUCCUUUCAUCUUCUGUAUGGGAAAUGGCUUGGUUCUUUAAUAAUCUAGCAACUCUUAACUAAAAAUUAUAGGGAGCCAUUGUUUUAGAUUAGGCUUCUGCACAAGGCCCCAACAACUAGAUUAACCAUCAAAACUCAUUAAACUUUCAUAUCACAAAACCAAAACAAAGCUGUGAUUUGACCUUCCCAGAAACCAGAAGCUAAAUUUUCCAAACAGGCCAUCUUCAAUUGACAUGAUAAUGAAUUCCUCUCUUUUAAUCCUUAAGAAUAAAAAAUACGGUAACAUAACCUGAUGUUACCAGUUAUUUUUCUGAUGUUGUCUCCCUGUCCCCACCUUCCAAGGAAAGAAGCUCCGAAAUAACCAAUCUAUGUUUUGUUCUUUUUUUUUUUCCCCUGUUUUUUUUUUAAGUCCUUCUCUGUAUAUAAAAUCAAUCUCUUCUGCUCAACGCAUCAGAACACUUAACUCCAUUUUAUAGGAAUGAAGUGUUACUUGAUUCUAGAAUAAAAAAUAAAGCCAAUUAAAAUCUUUAAACUAAAUUGUUAUAAUUUUGUCCUUUGGCAGUUUGGACUUAGUGGGCUAGGUAUAAAAAUAUUCAGCCUUCCUUUGAUUUCCAACAUGCUCAAUUGAACAAGUGAUCACAAUUUCCACUCUCUGUCACUUCUUGGUGUGUGUACCCAAAAGCAUGGAGUUCUAUUGGAAAAAAAAACCUAAAGCAAAGUAAAAGACCAUGAAAGGAAUUAAACAUAAUAUGUUGGCCAAAUUUAUGUGGUAUGAUUGAUUUGGAAAUAAUACUUCCAAUUCCCUUUUACUACAUAUAUCAGAACAAUUUCUCUUAACUAAGAUGAUAUUUGGACUUUCUGUAUUAGUAUGUUUUAGCACAAAUAUAUAAAGACAGACCCUUCAACUGAGUAUGUGUGCAAGACAAAUUGUUCAAUUGAUCUAGCUAUGACUUAUUUAAUAAAUAUUUAUUGAGCUUCUACAUGAAUGGCACUAUGAAUUUGAAACAAGAAAUAUGAAAACACAAAUAUUAGCAAGGAAUCUGAAUGUUAAAAUGGAUAGAAAUACCAUUCAAGCCAUCUCAACUGAUAAAAGGAAUUUAUUGGUUCAUGUUACUGAAAAGUUCAAAAAUUACUUUAGAUGCUUCUGUAUCAUUAGUCUAAGAAUCAUACAUCUUUCUAUAUUGAGGUUCUGUCCUUUUGUUGUUGUUGUUGUUCUUUCUGUAAGGGUAAAAGAAAUUGAAGUUAAAGCGUAAAAGUUAAAGGGUAAAAGACCGGGUGUUGUAAAGUUUCUAAGCUGCAAGGUCUGAGUUAAAAUGUAAAGGAUUAGGUAUUGUUAGGUUUCUAUGCUACCUGCAAAACCUGAAAUUUCUAUAGCUGUUAAGACAAUGCUUAGAACCGCCCAGUAAACAUUUCCCCUGACUGUUUGGUUGUUUAAUAACUGAAGGGCUCUGUGUAACUGGUCACAUAGUCCUUUAGGCCCUAAAACCAAUCAGUUUGAAUGUGUACCCCGUUUAGGAAUGACCUAUCACUCCAGCCUGACCUGUUCAUUCA